rnacentral:rRNA from 1 species
UACGAAGGGGGGCUAGCGUUGUUCGGAAUUACUGGGCGUAAAGCGUGCGCAGGCGGCUUUCCAAGUCAGUGGUGAAAGCCCGGAGCUCAACUCCGGAAAUGCCAUUGAAACUGUGAAGCUUGAGUCCGAGAGAGGGUGGCGGAAUUCCUAGUGUAGAGGUGAAAUUCGUAGAUAUUAGGAAGAACACCAGUGGCGAAGGCGGCCACCCUGGCUCGGUACUGACGCUCAGGUUCGAAAGCGUGGGGAGCAAACAGG